rnacentral:rRNA from 1 species
AUUGAACGCUGGCGGCAGGCUUAACACAUGCAAGUCGAGCGAGCGGCGGACGUGUGAGUAAUGUCUGGGACACUGCCUGAGGGAUGGGGAUAGCAAAUGGAAACGGUAGCUAAUACCGCAUACCAUAACAUGGGCCCAGAUGGGAUUAGCUAGUAGGUGGGGUAAUGGAACACCAAGGCGCCGAUCUCUAGCUGGUAUGAGAGGAUGACCAGCCACACUGGAACUGAGACACGGUCCAGACUCCUACGGGAGGCAGCAGUGGGGAAUAUUGCACAAUGGGCGCAAGCCUGAUGCAGCCAUGCCGCGUGUGUGAAGAAGGCCUUCGGGUUGUAAAGCACUUUCAGCGAGGAGGCGUUACUCGCAGAAGAAGCACCGGCUAACUCCGUGCCAGCAGCCGCGGUAAUAC